AGUGAAUGCUGGCGGUAGGCCUAACACAUGCAAGUCGAACGGCAGCACAGAGGAGCUUGCUCCUUGGGUGGCGAGUGGCGGACGGGUGAGGAAUACAUCGGAAUCUACUCUGUCGUGGGGGAUAACGUAGGGAAACUUACGCUAAUACCGCAUACGACCUACGGGUGAAAGCAGGGGACCUUCGGGCCUUGCGCGAUUGAAUGAGCCGAUGUCGGAUUAGCUAGUUGGCGGGGUAAAGGCCCACCAAGGCGACGAUCCGUAGCUGGCCUGGGAGGAUGAGCAGCCACACUGGAACUGAGACACGGUCCAGACUCCUACGGGAGGCAGCAGUGGGGAAUAUUGGACAAUGGGCGCAAGCCUGAUCCAGCCAUACCGCGUGGGUGAAGAAGGCCUUCGGGUUGUAAAGCCCUUUUGUUGGGGAAGAAAUCCAGCUGGCUAAUACCCGGUUGGGAUGACGGUACCCAAAGAAUAAGCACCGGCUAACUUCGUGCCAGCCGCCGCAGUAA
rnacentral:rRNA from 1 species